UACGGAGGGUGCGAGCGUUGUCCGGAAUCACUGGGCGUAAAGGGCGCGUAGGUGGCGCGGGCAGUCAACGGUGAAAGUUCGGGGCUCAACCCUGAAUCGGCCGUCGAUACUCCCGGGCUGGAGCACUGUAGAGGCUAAUGGAAUUCCGGGUGUAGCGGUGGAAUGCGUAGAGAUCCGGAAGAACACCGGUGGCGAAGGCGGUUAGCUGGGCAGUUGCUGGACACUGAGGCGCGACAGCGUGGG
rnacentral:rRNA from 1 species